rnacentral:rRNA from 1 species
CCUACGGGAGUCAGCAGUGGGGAAUAUUGCGCAAUGGGCGAAAGCCUGACGCAGCGACGCCGCGUGCGGGAUGAAGGUCUUCGGAUCGUAAACCUCUGUCAGCAGGGAAGAACGGUCACUGUGCUAAUCAGCAGUGAAUUGACGGUACCUGCAAAGGAAGCACCGGCUAACUCCGUGCCAGCAGCCGCGGUAAUACGGAGGGUGCGAGCGUUAAUCGGACUUACUGGGCGUAAAGCGCUCGUAGGCGGUAUGUCAAGUCAAGGGGGAAAUCCCCGCGCUCAACGUGGGAACUGCCUUUGAAGCGGGCAAAGUGGAGUGUGUGAGAGGAUAGUGGAAUUCCAGGGGUAGGAGUGAAAUCCGUAGAUAUCUGGAGGAACAUCAGUGGCGAAGGCGACUAUCUGGCACAUAACUGACGCUGAGGAGCGAAAGCGUGGGUAGCAAACAGGAUUAGAUACCCUGGUAGUC